rnacentral:pre_miRNA from 1 species
GUUAUACCCCCUCCGUUCGGAAUUACUUGUCUCGAAAAUGGAUGUAUCUAGAACAAAAAUACGUCUAGAUACAUCCAUUUCCGCGACAAGUAAUUCCAAACGGAGGGAGUACUAA